CCCUCGGAGUGUUAAAGCAAACGAAAGUAGUUUAUUCCUUGUGAAGAACGAAAUCGGACACGUUGAACAGGGAA
rnacentral:sRNA from 12 species